AUUCAUUUCGCCUAUGGUAGGCCUACAGUAUAUCAAAAAAUAUUUUUUUUCAAUGUCGUGACUCUCCACCAAUAAUCACAUUUAGAGGUUUGGAGGACUAAAUUAAUAUCUAAGGGCAUUUUCCGUUAGAUAUUCUCUCAGAUCCUAAAGGGCUUUUGUAUCAUUCUAAAUAAUUAAUAAUCACUUUGUUUAAAAAGUAACAAUAUUUUAGAGAUUUCGUUUUCAUUUAAUCUACAGUGAGCGAGAAAAAGGCAAUCUUGAACAUGGGGUGAGACAUUCUCACUAAUUUGUAAAUAAAGCCAGUACAACAUGACGGUUGGGAGUAGGCUACAGGAUUGAAGGAUUCUAAAUUGUUUGCCUUCAUUAGACAUAACUCAACUCUAGUGAGACUCAUUUUGCCUAUGGUAGGCCUACAGUAUAUAGAUUAUUUUCAUUUUUUUCAAUAACGUGACUCUGCCAAUAAUUACAUUUAGAGGAUUGGAGGACUCGAAAUUAAUAUCUAAGAGGCAUUUUCCGUUAGAUAUUCUCACAGAUCCUAAGAAACUUGCUUAUAAUUCUAAAUUAAUUAUUAAUAAUAAUGACUUUGUUUAAAAAGUAACAAUAUUUUGUAGAUUUUGUUUUCAUUUAACCUAAAGUGAGUGAGAAAAAGGCAAAAGAGCAGACAUCACUUGCUUAUAUUUAGUCAACACAUAUCAAGAAUAUCAUGGCAUAUUUGAACAUGUAAUUCGUUAUGGAUCCAUAAAUAAAUAAACGUCAGAACUUUGAAAUAGUAUUUUUAUCAUUAUUUUAUUAACGAAACAUAGCAUACAGUGCAUACUGUAGUAAACAUGGGAAAGUGCCUAAUUCCUUACAUAAGGGAGAGCAUGUCCAGACUUUCUCGGUGACCUCAAGUACUCAUUAACUCUGUCUUCAAUGCUUUUUCGGGUUGCAUCAGUCAUGGAUGGAAACUUCUGAGACACAGUGUUAAUGAUUAACACUAGGAGGUUCACUGGUAAGCCACAUUUGCCUCGGUAUCCAUCCCAGUUUGUAUUAUGUGCCCACUCGUGGUAUCUCUCUUCGGGUACACAUCUCCGCCUGACUCUCCGCUAAUGAGGAGCAACUCUCCGACAAUACCACCUGUCUCUGGACCAAUGCAUCAGCUGUCGCCCAUAUCUCUGCCCUCAGAGAAUGUUUAUCUUUCUGCUGGUCUGCCUUCAAUGACUCGAUCUCGGUCUUCAAAGUUUGAAUCUCACCCAUGAGCACCUUCAUCAGAUGAGCAGAAUGGUACCACCCUGAGCCCCCAACGAUUUACAGUGGCCUAUGAUAGAAACAGUAGAUCAAUUAAGAAUUAAAAGUGACUCCAACACACAAAUGCUGCAUACACAUUUUAAGAAUUUAGCUUAACUAACCGCUUUCUUGGCAACCAUUUUUUCAGUGCUUUCUUGGCAACCAUUUGUCCAGCCCUUUGUCCACUGAUCUCCACGGAUGGUUGUCGGCAUGGUUGUAAGCUCUGAAAAAACACAUUCACGUUUUAGUAUACAAUUGUCGAUUUUAUUAUACAGUAUGCCUAAAGAUUGAUAUACCUUCUUUUUUUAUAUAAAAUACUCUGAAACCAAAAUACAUUUAGUUUUAGUUUCCGGACCUUUCGGUUACUGGCCCAACACUCUAACCGCUAGGCUACCUGCCGUCCCUAUGUUAUAGUGAUGGGGAAAUUGUUUAGCACACAGGUUGUUCUGGCUAACCUCUAUGGUCCUAAUUGGGAUGACGCUAAAGUUUUCUAUGACCUUUGCAAUACUUUCCGACCUCAACUCUCAUCUAUUAUGUUUCCUCUCAGCUCCGGCUCAUUUUCAAGUCCUCUGGUGGUUACAGUCCUAACCCUGGAACGGGUAGCACCAUAGAAAGAAGCUAGUUUGAUGAAAAAUUGUUCAUUUCAUCUGUUCUCUUUGGUCGCAAUGUGAUUUAUUUUUUAUUAACAGCUCGUUUUUGAAUGGUAACUGUGUUAAGGGUAGAGUUUUGGGCGUGUGAGGAAAGGCGUGACUUUCAGGUUACAAUAGGCUAUAAGUAUGCAGCAGAGUGCCGAUGGUCCUCACUUUGAUUAUACUGUAGCACCAUGACCAGGAUCUCUAUUCAUUUAAGUGAGCAGAUUAGGGCUUUCAAGAGGAAUGUAAAAUCUACUGGAGACAUUUCUAAAAUGUUAGUAGACUUGGGGAUUUUGAUCACGGACAGUGCUAUUCGCAAACACUACAAUCAGAUGCCUGUUUUACGCCGAACUCGAAAGCCCAGGAAAAUGAACAGGCCCAGGCAUGGAUUAAAGCUGGCGAGACAUUCAAUAAUGUCAUCUUCACAGACGAAUCAACUGUGGCCCUUGAGCAAUUUGCUCAAAGAUG